rnacentral:rRNA from 1 species
UACGGGGGGGGUAAGCGUUGUUCGGAAUUACUGGGCGUAAAGGGCUCGUAGGCGGCCAACUAAGUCAGACGUGAAAUCCCUCAGCUUAACUGGGGAACUGCGUCUGAUACUGGAUGGCUUGGAUUCGGGAGAGGAAUGCGGAAUUCCUGGUGUAGCGGUGAAAUGCGUAGAUAUCAGGAGGAACACCGGUGGUGUAGACGGCUUUCUGGACCGUAACUGACGCUGAGACACGAAAGCGUGGGUAGCAAACAGG